rnacentral:sRNA from 1 species
CUCCGCGGCACCCUCAAACCCCAGCCCAGGCCGCGGCGCACGAGCCAGCCAGCGCGCCUGCAGUCCUCGCCCGGACGCGCCGCGCCCCCUCGGAACCAGGCUCUGCUCCGAGCAGCCUUCUCCCCUCAAGCCAGCCACAGUCCCUGCCAGGCCGGGUGGGCGUCAAGAUGAAGGCGGCCCGCUUCGUGCUGCGCAGCGCUGGCUCGCUCAACGGCGCCGGCCUGGUGCCCCGAGAGGUGGAGCAUUUCUCGCGCUACAGCCCGUCCCCGCUGUCCAUGAAGCAGCUACUGGACUUUGGUUCAGAAAAUGCAUGUGAAAGAACUUCUUUUGCAUUUUUGCGACAAGAAUUGCCUGUGAGGCUCGCCAACAUUCUGAAGGAAAUUGAUAUCCUCCCGACCCAAUUAGUAAAUACUUCUUCAGUGCAAUUGGUUAAAAGCUGGUAAGUGGUGAACCAUAUUGAAGUCUCUAGUUUUGAAACAGUUACCCGGGUAUGAAUUCUUAUACUAUGUUAACAUCAUAAUUGGAAAACAGGUGAUCUGAACGGUAACUAUUUUGAAAGAUGUAAGAAUUUUAAAAUUAAUUUAGGGUAAGUUAUCAUUACAGAAGUUAUAAAACUAUAAACAGACAUUUUUACCCUGAAAAAGUGGAUUACUUUAUAAUAAAAUUUUGAGUUCUAGGAAAAAUUUGAAA